GACAAAAACCUGGACUUUACAGAACAGGUGUACUUAUUAGACUUAAACCGAUUACUAAUUUAUUAGUAAAUUUAAAAUGAAUUAAAAUAAGUUUAUGAAUCGCAGAUCAUUUUGUGAUGAUAAGAAUGAAUUUCUGCCCUAUCAACUUUCGAUGGUAAUGUAGUGGAUUACCAUGGUGAUGACGGGUAACGGGGAAUUAGGGUUUGAUUCCGGAGAAAAGGCCUGAGAGACGGCCAUUACUUCUAAGGAAGGCAGCAGGCGCGUAAAUUACCCAAUCCUAAUACGGGGAGGUAGUGACAAGAAAUAUUGAUAUUGGACCCAAAGGGUACAAUGAUUGAAAUGAGAACAAUAUAAAAAACUUAACGACUAACAAUUGGAGGGCAAGUCUGGUGCCAGCAGCCGCGGUAAUUCCAGCUCCAAGAGUGUAUAUUAAAGUUGUUGCGGUUAAAAAGCUCGUAGUUGAAUUUCUGAAAAUAAUCUUGUGAUUGAUU
rnacentral:rRNA from 1 species